UGGUGAGAAAGAAGUUAUUAUGAUAGUUUAAAAUGUGGGAGAAUCUCUGAUAAACGUGGACAUGGAAACCUGUUGAUGGCAGGUGGAGUCAUCUUUUUGUAAACUGUAUAAUUUCAAGUACCCUGGUUCAUGAUUUUCUCCGCCAGUCUCAUUAGUGAGCUCAAACCCUAUAUAUACGCAUCAUGUUCAUCGAUUUCCAUGUACAAAAACCAGAUCGAGGAAAUAGCUGUUGUAGAGUACCCACUAUAAAAGGAGAGAGAAGAGGGUAUUCAGAUUGUAGAUUACUAGAUUGUAGUGUCACUCGCUCACCAGAGUCUAAUAGAGAAUAGUGCACAACAGUGGAGUGAAGUGACUGGCACAUAGAGAGACUUAAAAGAAGUAACGGGAACCCCACUUUUCCAUCUUCACUUUCCUGUUUUUUUACCCUUUAUUCACUGUACUUACACAGUACAACGUUUAUGUCGGUUUGUGUGAGUGUGUGAUAAGGGUCUUUCUUUUGGUUCAGAGAGAGAAAGAGGAAUGAGAGAAGGAGAAACGUGAUGAGAAACGAAUAUCUCCCUUCUUGCUGGUUCUGGUUUUUCUAUCUCUGUGCUUUUACUGUUUUGCCAGAUUUGUGUGGAUGUGAGAUCUUCAAUCGUUUUCCCUUCUCUGACUCUCACGAAGACAUUGACUACUCUUCCUAUUCUCUCUCUCAUUCUGCUACUUCUUUAACACAGUUUCUCUUCCGUGAUUUCUGCUUCUUCUGACCCUUUGUUUUUUUUUUCUUUUUUCAAUUUUCUAGCUGUUUAUUUCUCCUGUCCAGUUAAAGUUAUAUGGAACUCAUUCUGUGUUCUAAGUCAUAUCUCUUCUCACCCUUUUCUUUGUCGAUUUGGUUCCUUUUCUCCUUUAGCAGUUGUGGCUCUGAUACUGUUCUUUGGUCGAAGCUUUUGUUUCUUUGGGUUCACCUUGCGGGAAGAACCGGAGAAGUAUUUAAGUGAAAGAUGCAGUUAGUUUGGUUGUUUCAUGUUGUUGCUUAACGAAAUCGACCCUUUGAUUUUUGUGCUUAUGAAUAUUACAUUACAUGCUCCUGUGUGAUUUGAUCAUACUAAUUACUACAUUAGAGUUUUUCUGCUGUGUCCGAUCAUGAUCUUUAUAUGCAGUGUCUUUAUCGGUGUAUCUAUUGUUCAUCUAUUUUUUGCAUGAUAUUCAAAGGGUUAGAAAAAGGACACUAUUCUAGUAUGAUGAAGGAAAAAUAUUUUUUGAGUACUUUGAGACUUUUAGGUCCUAGGGUUAGGGUUCUUGUAAAAGAAAUGUGUUUUAAUAUCUUGGAAGCCGAUUUCUCUGAAGUUGUGGAAUGAUGUCGGUUAACUCUACAUUCCUUGGCAGUCUGCAUGCUAGUUAAAGAUGAUUAUAAAUUUGUAAUCCUUAAUUAAUCAUUGUUAAGUCUUUGAGUGCUUGACAGAAAAUGGUUCCUUCUUUCUGAAAAAGUAUACCAGGUUUAGUCAUACCCAUGAAUACUACUUAAAGGUUGCCAUAGUAUUCAGAUUUUGUCACUAUCUGCAUCGUGUUUAUAGCGUUUGUCAAUAUGAAUUACAGUUUCUUCAAUCCUUUCAUUAUUGUUAGUGAUUUCCUUCUAUGCUUAGUAAUGAGCGCAUUCUAUUUCUGUCGUCAUAGUUUCAUCUAUGUUUGAUGAAUUUCAUCUGGAGUCAUAUACUACAUAUGUUGAUUUAUUAUACUUUAAUGCAGCAUUUUUGCUUGAUCUUGGAUUAAAUUAAUUGCCUGUGGAUUUCGUGAAUGAAAUGUUAUAUGAAGAUUCCCA
rnacentral:sRNA from 1 species